AACCACACGGUGAGCACAAAGUGAACUAUUCUUUUGCCUUUUACUAGAGAAUAUUAUGUGCUCGUCGCAAGUAGUGGCAUAUGCAUAUUUUUGGAGGUCUUCUUUCCAAAUGGGU